UGGUGGAGUGAUUUGUCUGGUUAAUUCCGUUAACGAACGAGACCUCGACCUGCUAACUAGUGCAUUUGAGCAUUCGUGCUCGAAUCGAUUCGCACUUCUUAGAGGGACUAUCGGUGUGUAGCCGAUGGAAGUUCGAGGCAAUAACA
rnacentral:rRNA from 1 species